rnacentral:rRNA from 1 species
CCUGGGAACUGCGUUNUGAACUGGGUGACUAGAGUGUNUCAGAGGGAGGUAGAAUUCCACGUGUAGCAGUGAAAUGCGUAGAGAUGUGGAGGAAUACCGAUGGCGAAGGCAGCCUCCUGGGAUANCACUGACGUUCAUGCCCGAAAGCGUGGGUAGCAAACAGGAUUAGAUACCCUGGUAGUCCACGCCCUAAACGAUGUCGAUUAGCUGUUGGGCAGCAUGACUGCUUAGUAGCGAAGCUAACGCGUGAAAUCGACCGCCUGGGGAGUACGGUCGCAAGAUCAAAACUCAAAGGAAUUGACGGGGACCCGCACAAGCGGUGGAUGAUGUGGAUUAAUUCGAUGCAACGCGAAGAACCUUACCUGGUCUUGACAUGCACGGAAUCCUCCAGAGACGGAGGAGUGCCUUCGGGAGCCGUAACACAGGUGCUGCAUGGCUGUCGUCAGCUCGUGUCGUGAGAUGUUGGGUUAAGUCCCGCAACGAGCGCAACCCUUGUCAUUAGUUGCCAUCAUUAAGUUGGGCACUCUAAUGAGACUGCCGGUGACAAGCCGGAGGAAGGUGGGGAUGACGUCAAGUCCUCAUGGCCCUUAUGACCAGGGCUUCACACGUCAUACAAUGGUCGGUACAGAGGGUAGCCAAGCCGCGAGGCGGAGCCAAUCUCACAAAACCGAUCGUAGUCCGGAUUGCACUCUGCAACUCGAGUGCAUGAAGUCGGAAUCGCUAGUAAUCGCAGGUCAGCAUACUGCGGUGAAUACGUUCCCGGGUCUUGUACACACCGCCCGUCACACCAUGGGAGUGGGGGAUACCAGAAG